CCAAUUUCUUUAUUACUCUCUCAACUUUUACUACCUAUAAAUCUUACCCCUACUCUUUCUUCUUUCUGCUGGUGCUGAUAUUUAGCUUGACCAAUACAGAACCCUAAUCAUCCGCUUCUAUCAUUUUCUUCUUUGCUUAAUCAAAUUUCAUCUCUGAUUUGAUCGAAUAUACAAUAGCAGCAGCAGCAGCAAAAAAUGGAUGAAGAAUAUGAUGUGAUUGUGCUCGGCACAGGUCUAAAGGAAUGCAUCCUUAGCGGUCUUCUAUCCGUCGAUGGUCUUAAGGUUCUGCACAUGGACAGAAAUGACUACUAUGGAGGAGAGUCAACUUCCCUCAAUCUUGUCCAGCUUUGGAAGAGGUUUAGAGGAAGCGACAAGCCUCCAGCUGAACUGGGUUCUAGCAGGGAUUUUAAUGUUGACAUGAUCCCCAAGUUUAUUAUGGCAAAUGGUGCUCUUGUGCGGGUGCUAAUUCAUACCGAUGUUACGAAAUAUUUAUACUUUAAAGCAGUUGAUGGCAGCUUUGUGUAUAACAAAGGAAAGGUCCACAAGGUGCCAGCUACUGAUAUGGAGGCACUUAAAUCUCCUCUGAUGGGCAUUUUUGAGAAGCGGCGUGCUCGGAAAUUCUUUAUUUAUGUUCAAGAUUAUAAUGAAAGUGAUCCUAAAACACAUGAAGGGAUGGAUCUAACUAGAGUUACAACAAGAGAGCUUAUUGCAAAAUACGGUCUUGAUGACAACACUGUGGACUUCAUUGGUCAUGCAUUGGCACUGCACAGAGAUGACCGCUACUUAGAUGAACCAGCACAGGAUACUGUGAAAAGAAUGAAGCUAUAUGCUGAGUCUCUUGCUCGCUUCCAAGGAGGAUCACCAUAUAUUUAUCCUUUGUAUGGAUUAGGAGAGCUCCCCCAGGUACUACUUUGAGUUCAUGAUUAGAUUUCUUGUCUUCUUUUAGUGAUUUUUUAGUUUCCCUCAUGUUAAUACUUGUACUUUCCAACUUCUUUUUCUUGAAUAUUACUGUUGUUAAUAUCUGUUCUGCUAACUUAGGCAUUCNAAUGCAAGAAAGUUGUAUGCGAUCCUUCCUACUUGCCCAACAAGGUGAGGAAGGUUGGCAAAGUUGCAAGAGCAAUCGCGAUUAUGAGCCACCCAAUUCCAAAUACCAAUGACUCUCACUCUGUGCAGAUUAUCCUACCUCAGAAGCAGUUGGGUCGCAAAUCAGACAUGUACCUGUUCUGCUGUUCUUACACUCAUAAUGUUGCUCCAAAGGGGAAAUUCAUCGCAUUUGUCUCAACAGAGGCAGAAACUGAUAACCCAGAGAGUGAACUGAAGCAGGGCGUCAAUCUUCUAGGGCCAGUGGAUGAGAUCUUCUAUGAAACUUAUGACAGAUCUGAACCUGUCAAUGAGCCCUCCUUGGACAAUUGUUUUAUUUCAACUAGCUAUGAUGCCACAACUCACUUUGAGUCGACUGUAGAUGAUGUGCUCAAUUUGUACACCAAAAUAACUGGAAAGGUUCUUGACCUCAAUGUGGAUCUAAGUGCUGCUAGUGCCGCCGAAGAAUGAGAAAUUCCUUACUGCUGUACUUGCACACUAUGUGAUGCUGAAUCCUUUGUGUCAACGAGAUUCUCAUGCUUUUGCUGUAGAAGUGGAUUAAUUUAUAAUGGGUUCUCUGUUAUAACUAUUGUUAAAAUGUUUGUUUCUUCUAUUGAACAAGCUUAUGUAAUGUUGAAAUUAGUCACGGUUCUUCAACUUGGAGGUGCACGUAGAGUUCAGAUGUUUAAAGUUGUUAUUGACUUCUGGCUCCUUGAAGUUAUGGAAUUUCUCUCGAGUUGCUAUGGUUUUCUGAUUCAA